rnacentral:rRNA from 1 species
GAUGAACGCUGGCGGCGUGCCUAACACAUGCAAGUUGAGCGAUCUUCUUCGGAAGAGAGCGGCGGACGGGUGAGUAACGCGUGGGUAACCUACCCUGUACACACGGAUAACAUACCGAAAGGUAUGCUAAUACGAGAUAAUAUAUUUCAUUCGCAUGUUUUGUAAAUAAUCAAAGCUCCGGCGGUACAGGAUGGACCCGCGUCUGAUUAGCUAGUUGGUGAGGUAACGGCUCACCAAGGCGACGAUCAGUAGCCGACCUGAGGGGGUGGAGUCGGCCGACCAUUGGUAAC